GAAGAGGAGCCUGCGGCGGAUUAGCUAGUUGGUAAGGUAAUGGCUUACCAAGGCGACGAUCCGUAACCGGCCUGAGAGGGCGGUCGGUCACACUGACACUGACAUACGGGUCAGACUCCUACGGGAGGCAGCAGUCGGGAAUUUUGGGCAAUGGGCGAAAGCCUGACCCAGCAACGCCGCGUGAAGGAUGAAAUCCCUCGGGAUGUAAACUUCGCAAGAACGGGAAGAAUAAGCGAUAGUUAAUAUCUGUCGUGAUGACGGUACCGUUUGUAAGCUCCGGCUAACUCCGUGCCAGCAGCCGCGGUAAUACGGGGGGAGCAAGCGUUGUUCGGAUUUACUGGGCGUAAAGGGCGCGUAGGCGGCCAGCGCAAGUCAGUUGUGAAAUCUCCGAGCUUAACUCGGAAAGGUCAACUGAUACUGCGCGGCUAGAGUGCGGAAGGGGCAACUGGAAUUCUCGGUGUAGCGGUGAAAUGCGUAGAUAUCGAGAGGAACACCUGCGGCGAAGGCGGGUUGCUGGGCCGACACUGACGCUGAGGCGCGAAAGCUAGGGGAGCGAACGGGAUUAGAUACCCCGGUAGUCCUAGCCUUAAACGAUGAAUGCUUGGUGUCUGGGGUUAUAUAGUCCCCGGGUGCCGUCGCUAACGCUUUAAGCAUUCCGCCUGGGGAGUACGGUCGCAAGACUGAAACUCAAAGGAAUUGACGGGGACCCGCACAAGCGGUGGAGCAUGUGGUUUAAUUCGACGCAACGCGAAGAACCUUACCUGGGCUAAAAUGCCUCUGACAACCCUAGAGAUAGGGCCUUCUGGGUAAAACCAGACAGAGUGCAAGGUGCUGCAUGGCUGUCGUCAGCUCGUGUCGUGAGAUGUUGGGUUAAGUCCCGCAACGAGCGCAACCCUUAUCUUUAGUUGCCAGCAUUUAGUUGGGCACUCUAGAGAGACUGCC
rnacentral:rRNA from 1 species